AUUGAACGCUGGCGGAAUGCUUUACACAUGCAAGUCGAACGGCAGCACGGACUUCGGUCUGGUGGCGAGUGGCGAACGGGUGAGUAAUGUAUCAGAACGUGCCCAGUCGUGGGGGAUAACGUAGUGAAAAUUACGCUAAUACCGCAUACGAUCUAUUGAUGAAAGCGGGGGAUCGCAAGACCUCGCCCGAUUGGAGCGGCCGAUAUCAGAUUAGGUAUUUGGUGGGGUAAAGGCCCACCAAGCCAACUAUCUGUAGCUGGUCUGAGAGGACGACCAGCCACACUGGAACUGAGACACGGGCCGGACUCCUACGGGAGGCAGCAGUGGGGAAUUUUGGACAAUGGGCGAAAGCCUGAUCCAGCCAUUCCGCGUGCAGGAUGAAGGCCCUCGGGUUGUAAACUGCUUUUGUACAGAACGAAAAGGUUUCUACUAAUACUAGGAGCUCAUGACGGUACUGUAAGAAUAAGCACCGGCUAACUACGUGCCAGCCGCCGCCGUAA
rnacentral:rRNA from 1 species